rnacentral:rRNA from 1 species
UACAGAGGGGGCAAGCGUUGUUCGGAAUUACUGGGCGUAAAGAGCUCGUAGGCGGUGUGUCGCGUCGGCCGUGAAAACCUGCAGCUUAACUGUGGGCUUGCGGUCGAUACGGGCAUCACUGGAGUUCGGCAGGGGAGACUGGAAUUCCUGGUGUAGCGGUGAAAUGCGCAGAUAUCAGGAGGAACACCGGUGGCGAAGGCGGGUCUCUGGGCCGAUACUGACGCUGAGGAGCGAAAGCGUGGGGAGCAAACAGG